rnacentral:rRNA from 1 species
CCUACGGGAGGCAGCAGUGGGGAAUAUUGGACAAUGGGCGCAAGCCUGAUCCAGCCAUGCCGCGUGGAUGAUGAAGGCCUGCGGGUUGUAAAGCUCUUUCGGCGGGGAAGAUAAUGACGGUACCCGCAGAAGAAGCCCCGGCUAACUCCGUGCCAGCAGCCGCGGUAAU